rnacentral:rRNA from 1 species
AGGUGCGAUCAUACCAGCACUAAUGCACCGGAUCCCAUCAGAACUCCGCAGUGAAGCGUGCUUGGGCGAGAGUAGUACUAGGAUGGGUGGUUGCCAGAGAUAAGACAAUCCUCUGCCCCCC